UUAAUUGAAACCAAAUUAAGAGGUAUAUCACUGUUAAUGAUAAAAUUGAGAAUAUUCUCCAAUUAAA
rnacentral:tRNA from 1 species